GAUGAACGCUGGCGGCGUGCCUAACACAUGCAAGUCGAACGGGAAUAGGAUGAAACCUAGUGAUUCCUAUUCCAGUGGCGGACGGGUGAGUAACGCGUGGGUAACCUGCCUUGCACUGGGGGAUAACACUUAGAAAUAGGUGCUAAUACCGCAUAAGCGCACAGAACCGCAUGGUUCGGUGUGAAAAACUCCGGUGGUGUAAGAUGGACCCGCGUCUGAUUAGCUGGUUGGUGAGGUAACGGCUCACCAAGGCGACGAUCAGUAGCCGGCCUGAGAGGGUGAACGGCCACAUUGGGACUGAGACACGGCCCAAACUCCUACGGGAGGCAGCAGUGGGGAAUAUUGCACAAUGGGGGAGACCCUGAUGCAGCAACGCCGCGUGAGUGAAGAAGUCAUUCGUGAUGUAAAGCUCUAUCAGCAGGGAAGAAAAUGACGGUACCUGACUAAGAAGCCCCGGCUAACUACGUGCCAGCAGCCGCGGUAAUACGUAGGGGGCAAGCGUUAUCCGGAUUUACUGGGUGUAAAGGGAGCGUAGACGGCGACGCAAGUCUGAAGUGAAAUGCCAGUGCUCAACACUGGAACUGCUUUGGAAACUGUGUGGCUAGAGUGCAGGAGAGGUAAGUGGAAUUCCUAGUGUAGCGGUGAAAUGCGUAGAUAUUAGGAGGAACACCAGUGGCGAAGGCGGCUUACUGGACUGUAACUGACGUUGAGGCUCGAAGGCGUGGGGAGCAAACAGGAUUAGAUACCCUGGUAGUCCACGCGGUAAACGAUGAUUACUAGGUGUCGGGGGGCUAUAGCCCUUCGGUGCCGCCGCAAACGCAAUAAGUAAUCCACCUGGGGAGUACGUUCGCAAGAAUGAAACUCAAAGGAAUUGACGGGGACCCGCACAAGCGGUGAGCAUGUGGUUUAAUUCGAAGCAACGCGAAGAACCUUACCUGACCUUGACAUCCCUCUGGCCGGACAGUAAUGUGUCCUUCCCUUCGGGGCAGAGGAGACAGGUGGUGCAUGGUUGUCGUCAGCUCGUGUCGUGAGAUGUUGGGUUAAGUCCCGCAACGAGCGCAACCCCUAUCCUUAGUAGCCAGCAGUAAGAUGGGAACUCUAGGGAGACUGCCGGGGAUAACCCGGAGGAAGGCGGGGAUGACGUCAAAUCAUCAUGCCCCUUAUGGCCAGGGCUACACACGUGCUACAAUGGCGUAAACAAAGGGAAGCGAGAUUGUGAAAUGGAGCAAAUCCCAAAAAUAACGUCUCAGUUCGGAUUGUAGUCUGCAACUCGACUACAUGAAGCUGGAAUCGCUAGUAAUCGCAGAUCAGAAUGCUGCGGUGAA
rnacentral:rRNA from 1 species